rnacentral:rRNA from 1 species
UACGGAGGGUGCAAGCGUUAUCCGGAUUCACUGGGCUUAAAGGGUGCGUAGGCGGGUUGGUAAGUCAGUGGUGAAAUCCCCGAGCUUAACUUGGGAACUGCCAUUGAUACUAUUAAUCUUGAAUACCGUGGAGGUUAGCGGAAUAUGUCAUGUAGCGGUGAAAUGCUUAGAUAUGACAUAGAACACCAAUUGCGAAGGCAGCUGGCUAGACGAAUAUUGACACUGAUGCACGAAAGCGUGGGGAGCAAACAGG